AUGGCGUCGAGGGAUCCGUUGAUCCUCGGGAGGAUCGUCGGCGACGUAGUUGACUACUUCGACGCGUCUGCGUGGCUGAGGGUGCUGUACGGCGACCGCGAGAUCACCGUCGGGUCCGAGCUGAGGCCGUCGCAGGUGGCCAGCCCGCCGACGGUGCGGAUCACGGGGCGCCCCGGAUCACUCUACACGCUCGUGAUGGUAGACCCUGAUGCGCCUACCCCAACCGACCCUUCCAAUAGGGAGUACCUCCAUUGCAUGCACAUUGCGGGAUGAUCUGUUUGCACACAAAAUUCAUUAUUACUUUGUUUACAGCUAAUUUCUUGCGUGCAUAGGUUUGUUACAGAUAUACCAGACGGAGGUGACGUGGGCCAUGGAACUGAGGUGAUGGCGUACGAGAAGCCGCAGCCGACGGCGGGGAUCCACCGCAUGGCAUUCGUGGUGUUCCGGCAGGAGGUGCGGCAGGCCAUCUACGCGCCUGGGUGGCGCUCCAACUUCGUCACCAGGGACAUGGCCGAGUGCUACUGCCUCGGCGCUCCGGUCGCCGCCGCCUACUUCUACUGCCAGAGGGAGGGCAGCUGCGGUGGCCGGAGGUACAGGGGGUAG
rnacentral:rRNA from 1 species